rnacentral:lncRNA from 1 species
GGACCGCUCGCUCUGACAGCAGUCAGCACUGGGAACAAAAGGAAUGGAGGGGAAAAAAAGCGCAAAUGUAUUUUUACAUAUUGUAGGCAUAUGGCCACAAGACCAGCAGAAAUAUAUUUAAUUAACAAUUGCGCACAUUGAAGAGAAAAACACCGGGAAGGAAAAAAAAAAAAAAAAAAAAAAAAAACCUGUGUACACAGCAAUGUUAUUCUACUUUAACUUUUCACCUCAUUUUUUUUGUUUGUUUGUUUGUUUUCUUUUCUUUCUUUUUUUUUUACCUGAAGAUGAAAAGGAUGUGGUUUAGAAUCGAGAAGGGUUAUCUACUAGAAUCCCAUUGUGAAGGUGCUAUGGGUCUUUGACAUGCCUUUCCAAAUAGUGUAACAUUACAUGAAGAAAUAUGAAAGUUUUCUUUUAAUUAUUUUAAUUAUAAAAUAAUUUUUCAAAGGUAUUUGGGGGGGUCAGGGGGACCUACCUGAAACAGAACCAUUAGACAAUCCCACCGUCCCGUGAAAACUGUAUUUCUGAUGUUAAACAUUUGUUUAGGCCUUGACAAUGAACAAAUCCCCCUUGGAAGUUUUAUAGUUUUGUUCUUCCUUAUGAAAUCGGAACAGUUCAGCCCACAUUAAUUGCCUGCUUCCUAUCUGUCAGGCACUGUGCUAGCCAGUGGAGGGGCAGAAAUGAACCAUAUGUAUUCCCUGCGCUCAAGAAGCUCAUAGUCUAAGAUGGGAGACAGACACAGGCUGAGUAGUGUUCCAUUGUAUAUGUGUACCACAUCUUUAUGGAAUGGACUUUUUCUUCAGCCUGGGAGUCAGUCACCAAGGAGGACCAGCAAGAUAACUUCUUCCUGGAAGAGCUAAUGAAAAGAAACUUUGGGUCUGAGCAAGAGUGUAGGUGAGAAAUCUCGUGGUACCCAUUGAUCCUGUUGAUUGUUUCACCAAUCAUCAACCUGAUGGGAAAUUUUAUCUGAAUCAAUGUGUUAGAACUUCCUACUUCCCUAAGCUCUAGUAACUGGGGAGACUGGGGUUGGGCAAAUACCUAUUGGUACCACGCAUACCUUUGGGCCAUCUGGUUGUUGGUGGACUAGGACCUAUGGUUGGGGCUAGAGCCAUGUCCAGUGAGAGUCUGUGCCCAGCUGGUCACAGGCCUCCUCUGAGGAGUGCUGGGGGUGGUGAGACCCCCAGCAGUAGCAGAGGCAGCAGCCCCAGCAUUGAGGUAGGGUUGGGGGACUUGGCUGCAUGACCAAGUUGGUGGCCAUGGACUCUAAUCAGGAAGAGGAAUCACAAGGAUGAAGGCAGUUAGAUGUGUCCCAUCAAACUAGUGGCCAGGCCUUGAAUUUCCCAGCUGUGAUUCACCAUUCCUGGCAGGUGUACCUCUUGGGUUGACAUGUCUGAGAACUGUGUGGGCAGGUCUCUUCUUUCUGGCCUCUGGAAGGGUUUAUUGGAAGACAGAUAUUGAAAUGGUUCCAACCCUAGUGAUAGUGUAGUUGUGAUAACCAUCAGAAGCUAGUCCCAUCUUUACUGGAGAAGGUUUGGUUUAUUUGGGGCUUGGCCUUGGAGAGGCCAACACUGAAGAAAUAGACCAAGACCAUCGUAAAGCUCAAAUGGAUCCCAUAUGAACACAUGAAUUGUGCUGACUCAGUUAUUAGUGAAUUCAAGCGUGCUUGGGUAGGAGUUAAAAAUGUUGAAAUUGUCAUGAGUUAGGAGCUAGGUGGAAAUUACUUUCCUAUAGCCUGAAUUUAAAAUACUUCUGGAAAAUAAAGAGUCUGUGUC